AUGAACCCUGCGCUCAACCACCUUCAUCCUCUGCUUCGCUCAACCACACAUCGGCGCCGAUCACCACCAUCAGUAGACCAUGCAGAACCACGCAGCCGCCUUCUCUCUAAUCGAAGUCAACCAACGCGAGACCAAUCGCGCUAUCGCCGUAGCCGCGAACUACGACAAAUUCCGGAUCUGCAUAAUCAUCAAGUAAAAGAACAGGAAUUCAAAAGAAGAUGA